ACGUUCAUGGUGUAAUGGUAGCAUGCGAGUCUCCAAAACUUGUGGUUAGGGUUCAAAUCCUUAUGGACGUG
rnacentral:tRNA from 1 species